AUAAGAUUACAAAAGAAUACACACUCAGAAUUUCUGUGAUCAUCAGAACCACAGCUAUAUCAGCACACAAACAGGAAUCUCAGAAUUCAAGUAUUACUACACUAUGUAAAUGGAGAACAAUGAGCAACAAAGAAUAAUGAAUUGUGCACUAGAACCAUUAUAAUCGUUGGUGAUGAAUAUUCUAUCUUUCUACAGUAUUCCAUUGCUCUCUUUAUUAUAGUUUCUGAAAGUCCGUAGUCCCACAAUACGCUUAAUGAACAGUUCUAAGUAAAUAAACACUUUACAUUCAGAAAACUCAAGAAAUAUUUUCUAAAAAUUAUGUGCAAUACUGGAAAUAAAAAGAAUAAAACACAAGAUUUAUUGUGAAAUUUAUUGUAAAAAAGAAAAAAGGAGAGAUCAAGAUUCCUAUUUCCUUAGCCUUUUCUUCUCUAUACUUCAUUGUUUCUCUUUAACAAGGUUAACACAUGCUGAAGGCGAAAGAAAUCCAAGAGACUGAUGCAAAACUAACAGAAUAUCAAGAUAGCCUUGAAAAAGAAAUUCAACAGCAAUUAAAUAAAUAUCAGCUUAGCCUUGGAAGAGAGCACAAGAUGAAAAACAAAUUCAAGGCCAACUUGGGGAGUUGAUUUCUGGUUGUCGCUGGGUGAAGACCUUGGGGAGGGAUUAUCCACUCCCCGGGUCUGGAAUUUCUUUGCUGGCAAGCCCAUUUGGGCUAAAAAUCACCCUGGAGGAAUGGCUACUGAAGGGUGAAUAUUUGGGGAAUGGGAGCCAGCAGUAGCUGGCUCUCUGAACCCAAAGCAGCCCCUGGAACCAGCAGAAGAAAGGUGGAUCACAUUUAUGCGAGUCGCCAUUAACAGCUGAUCGUUGGGAACAGAAAACAGCUGAUUUUGACAGCAAGCAGCCGGUCCGGUUGAAAGACUUUCAUCUUUUUUAAACAGCAAUUUCCCUAUUUGCAUGCUAAGGAAAUCCAUCACAAGGAAAUACUGUUGCUCCACCCUUCCGUCAAGUAAAAAUUAAGAAUUCAUGGUUGCCUAUUAUAAAGUUCACUACUGUGUUACGUGCAACCUGUCAGGUUUUUGACUGGAAAAAUUGCUACUUAUCAAAUAUUAAUCUACCUUGCAAGUUUUUGAGCUGAUGUACCAGCCAAAUAUGGAAGAGACUGCAGCACAACAUCAAAUUCUAACCAGAAAAUUAUCACAAUACAAAAAUAAAAUACAAUUUUAAUUCAUAAAUACCUGUUUGUUAAUUCAACAAACACUCAUUUAUCACACCAUCUUUUGUGAUCAUCAUCCAAAUCAUUCUAUGAUGCUACACAGUUAACACACACCGCACACUUAACGACAGAAAAUAGUUAUAAACAUGGAAUGUUGGAACACCAUUGUGGGAAGUCAGCCCCCCAGAGAAGGAAAUAUUAAAAGGGCAGAAAAAUAUAUUUCCUCAAAGGAUCUUAAAGAGGCAGAAAAGCAUGCCCAG